CCUAAAAACAUUUAAUAGAAAAUGUUUAAACAAUAUUUUGCAAACAUUAAUUUAGGUUAUGGAAGAAAAACUUUAUUUCAUCAAAUGACAGUGAUUGAAGCGGUACUUCCCAUAUAUAGCCUUUUACAGUGCACGUAUUGCUAUUUUCCGGAUUUUCUGUUCCAGUACCGACAACAAAAGUUUACACAUUUAAAAUCUAACUGUUCCCGAUGACCAACGAACAUGAUCCGAAGCAAUUUUGGAAACCAGUAACCGGAAGUUUUAUUUACCAUGCUGUAAACAAAGACAAAGGAAACGUACAAAAUAAAGAAUAACCUUAUCAUGCGUUAAAACUGGAUCAAUUAGCAUGAUUAGACGUACCAAAAUUUAGGAUAGAUUUUCAGAAAUGCAGAUUAAAAUUGAGAAUGGAAAUGGGGAUUAUAUAGAAGAAUAUAAGCUUAGAAAUUAUUCAAACCAUCCUGGAGGAGCAAAUUUUAUGAAGAAGCCAGCAGAUGUCAAAAGAAAUAAAAAGAAUGGAACAAAAGAAACUUUGAAAAAGAACAGUGAUACGAAAAUAUUGAAUACAUGUUUUGCAUUUAUAAUUGUAAUUCUAUCUUGUAUAGUGUUGACUAAGGCAGCAAAGAAAACAGUAAAAA